rnacentral:rRNA from 1 species
CCUACGGGAGGCAGCAGUGAGGAAUAUUGGUCAAUGGACGAGAGUCUGAACCAGCCAAGUAGCGUGAAGGAUGACUGCCCUAUGGGUUGUAAACUUCUUUUAUAAAGGAAUAAAACGAGGCACGUGUGCCUUUUUGCAUGUACUUUAUGAAUAAGGAUCGGCUAACUCCGUGCCAGCAGCCGCGGUAAUACGGAGGAUCCGAGCGUUAUCCGGAUUUAUUGGGUUUAAAGGGAGCGUAGAUGGGUUGUUAAGUCAGUUGUGAAAGUUUGCGGCUCAACCGUAAAAUUGCAAUUGAUACUGGCAGUCUUGAGUACAGUUGAGGUAGGCGGAAUUCGUGGUGUAGCGGUGAAAUGCUUAGAUAUCGGGAAGAACACCGAUGGCGAAGGCAGCUUACUGGGCCGACACUGACGCUGAGGCGCGAAAGCUAGGGGAGCGAACAGGAUUAGAUACCCUGGUAGUC